rnacentral:rRNA from 1 species
ACAGGUCUUCGGAUGCUGACGAGUGGCGAACGGGUGAGUAAUGCAUCGGAACGUGCCCAGUCGUGGGGGAUAACGCAGCGAAAGCUGUGCUAAUACCGCAUACGAUCUAUGGAUGAAAGCGGGGGAUCGCAAGACCUCGCGCGAUUGGAGCGGCCGAUGUCAGAUUAGCUAGUUGGUGGGGUAAAGGCCCACCAAGGCGACGAUCUGUAGCUGGUCUGAGAGGACGACCAGCCACACUGGGACUGAGACACGGCCCAGACUCCUACGGGAGGCAGCAGUGGGGAAUUUUGGACAAUGGGCGCAAGCCUGAUCCAGCAAUGCCGCGUGCAGGAAGAAGGCCUUCGGGUUGUAAACUGCUUUUGUACGGAACGAUAAGGUCUGGGUUAAUACCCUGGGCUCAUGACGGUACCGUAAGAAUAAGCACCGGCUAACUACGUGCCAGCAGCCGCGGUAAUACGUAGGGUGCAAGCGUUAAUCGGAAUUACUGGGCGUAAAGCGUGCGCAGGCGGUUUUGUAAGACAGGCGUGAAAUCCCCGGGCUCAACCUGGGAAUGGCGCUUGUGACUGCAAAGCUGGAGUGCGGCAGAGGGGGAUGGAAUUCCGCGUGUAGCAGUGAAAUGCGUAGAUAUGCGGAGGAACACCAAUGGCGAAGGCAAUCCCCUGGGCCUGCACUGACGCUCAUGCACGAAAGCGUGGGGAGCAAACAGGAUUAGAUACCCUGGUAGUCCACGCCCUAAACGAUGUCAACUGGUUGUUGGUCCUUAGCUGGAUCAGUAACGAAGCUGACGCGUGAAGUUGAC